GGUGACCAGUUGUAGUGAGAAUGGACAAAUGGGGUUGGAGAAAAGAGUGCGAAUGCUACUAAAAGUGACAGUAGUAGCAUACUUACAAAAUGGAGUGUAUAUGUUCUUCUUCACUAUCAAAGAGAUGAAAAAUUGUUGCUUUGCUUAAACUCUUGAAUCUGAUGAGUUGUUUCACUAUGCAGGGAAUUAUGAGAAAAGGGAAAAUUUGUCACUUUUUGCAGAG
rnacentral:misc_RNA from 1 species